UACGUAGGGUGCGAGCGUUGUCCGGAAUUAUUGGGCGUAAAGCGCUCGCAGGCGGUUUCUUAAGUCUGAUGUGAAAGCCCACGGCUCAACCGUGGAGGGUCAUUGGAAACUGGGAGACUUGAGUGCAGAAGAGGAGAGUGGAAUUCCACGUGUAGCGGUGAAAUGCGUAGAGAUGUGGAGGAACACCAGUGGCGAAGGCGACUCUCUGGUCUGUAACUGACGCUGAGGAGCGAAAGCGUGGGGAGCAAACAGG
rnacentral:rRNA from 1 species